rnacentral:rRNA from 2 species
AGGGCGGCAGCUAUACAUGCAGUCGAGCGAACAGAAGGGAGCUUGCUCCCGGAUGUUAGCGGCGGACGGGUGAGUAACACGUGGGUAACCUGCCUGUAAGACUGGGAUAACUCCGGGAAACCGGAGCUAAUACCGGAUAGUUCCUUGAACCGCAUGGUUCAAGGAUGAAAGACGGUUUCGGCUGUCACUUACAGAUGGACCCGCGGCGCAUUAGCUAGUUGGUGGGGUAAUGGCUCACCAAGGCGACGAUGCGUAGCCGACCUGAGAGGGUGAUCGGCCACACUGGGACUGAGACACGGCCCAGACUCCUACGGGAGGCAGCAGUAGGGAAUCUUCCGCAAUGGACGAAAGUCUGACGGAGCAACGCCGCGUGAGUGAUGAAGGUUUUCGGAUCGUAAAGCUCUGUUGUUAGGGAAGAACAAGUGCGAGAGUAACUGCUCGCACCUUGACGGUACCUAACCAGAAAGCCACGGCUAACUACGUGCCAGCAGCCGCGGUAAUACGUAGGUGGCAAGCGUUGUCCGGAAUUAUUGGGCGUAAAGGGCUCGCAGGCGGUUUCUUAAGUCUGAUGUGAAAGCCCCCGGCUCAACCGGGGAGGGUCAUUGGAAACUGGGAAACUUGAGUGCAGAAGAGGAGAGUGGAAUUCCACGUGUAGCGGUGAAAUGCGUAGAGAUGUGGAGGAACACCAGUGGCGAAGGCGACUCUCUGGUCUGUAACUGACGCUGAGGAGCGAAAGCGUGGGGAGCGAACAGGAUUAGAUACCCUGGUAGUCCACGCCGUAAACGAUGAGUGCUAAGUGUUAGGGGGUUUCCGCCCCUUAGUGCUGCAGCUAACGCAUUAAGCACUCCGCCUGGGGAGUACGGUCGCAAGACUGAAACUCAAAGGAAUUGACGGGGGCCCGCACAAGCGGUGGAGCAUGUGGUUUAAUUCGAAGCAACGCGAAGAACCUUACCAGGUCUUGACAUCCUCUGACAACCCUAGAGAUAGGGCUUUCCCUUCGGGGACAGAGUGACAGGUGGUGCAUGGUUGUCGUCAGCUCGUGUCGUGAGAUGUUGGGUUAAGUCCCGCAACGAGCGCAACCCUUGAUCUUAGUUGCCAGCAUUUAGUUGGGCACUCUAAGGUGACUGCCGGUGACAAACCGGAGGAAGGUGGGGAUGACGUCAAAUCAUCAUGCCCCUUAUGACCUGGGCUACACACGUGCUACAAUGGACAGAACAAAGGGCUGCGAGACCGCAAGGUUUAGCCAAUCCCAUAAAUCUGUUCUCAGUUCGGAUCGCAGUCUGCAACUCGACUGCGUGAAGCUGGAAUCGCUAGUAAUCGCGGAUCAGCAUGCCGCG